rnacentral:rRNA from 1 species
GUCUACAGCCACACCACCCUGAACGCACCCGAUCUCAUCUGAUCUUGGAAGCUAAGUGGGAUCAGGCCUGGUUAGUACUUGGAUGGGAGUUCCCAAAUCAGACCUAGAAAUCAGUCU